AUUGAACGCUGGCGGCAUGCCUUACACAUGCAAGUCGAACGGUAACGCGGGGCAACCUGGCGACGAGUGGCGAACGGGUGAGUAACGCAUCGGAACGUGCCCAGUAGUGGGGGAUAGCCCGGCGAAAGCCGGAUUAAUACCGCAUACGACCUACGGGUGAAAGAGGGGGAUCGCAAGACCACUCGCUAUUCGAGUGGCCGAUGUCAGGUUAGGUAGUUGGUGGGGUAAAAGCCUACCAAGGCUACGAUCUGUAGCUGGUCUGAGAGGACGACCAGCCACACUGGGACUGAGACACGGCCCAGACUCCUACGGGAGGCAGCAGUGGGGAAUUUUGGACAAUGGGCGCAAGCCUGAUCCAGCCAUGCCGCGUGCGGGAAGAAGGCCUUCGGGUUGUAAACUGCUUUUGUACGGAACGAAACGGUCUGGGUUAAUACCUCGGGCUAAUGGCGGUACCGUAAGAAUAAGCACCGGCUAACUACGUGCCAGCCGCCGCAGUAAAAC
rnacentral:rRNA from 1 species